CUGAGCCAAAGCUGCACUGCACAGAAGCAACAUGAUUACAGGGCAGGUGGUGACACAGCUCCUUACUGGUCUGAGUGAACCCUGAUAGCAUCACAAAAGGAUCUGGGGAUUAAAAGGAAGCAGGAGGAAGAAAAGCAGUCUGCUUGUUGGAACAAAAGAAAGGCAGAGACCAUUUGGGAAGUGCUCAGAUACUAUGUUGAGAGUGUCAGAUAAGAAGAUAAAAUUUAUUAGAAGGAUUAUUCUGUAUCUGCAGAAUUUCUUACAGUCAAGAUAGGGAAUGCUACAAAUACUGAAAGAAACUGGAAAGAAGGAUUAUGACCAACUCCCUCUUAGCACCUGCUUGGACCACCGACCUCUGCCCUCAUCAUCUGCUGCAGCCUGAUGGUACCACAACUUGCUGGGAUAACACUUCUCUGUAACUGAGACAGACAGGGGAGCAGGUUUCAGAAGCUAUUUACCCUUCAAAAUUUCUCAUUAGAGAUUAUAGUGAUUUCUUCUCUUUGGGGACAUUAUGUGAAAUCACCCACACAACAGUAAUCCUACAAAAACGAGGUAUAUGAAAAAACAGAGAGAAAAUGGAAUUAAAACAAAAUUGAUUUUCUUAACAUAUUUAGAUGUUUACUUCUCAUAUGGAGGGGCUGCAUGGUCAUUAUAAAAGGAGGAAGUUUAGAACAGAAGGGAGCUGCAGGGAAAAGAAAGAGCCCUGCAGUCACUCUCUGGAAUUGAAGGAGGUGGUGUGAAGCCACAGAGGAAAGGGAUAUGGACCAAUGUAGAACCCUGACAGAAAGAUGUGAGGACCAUGGAGCCUGCAGUUGGGGCUGAAGAUCUUU